AUUGAACGCUGGCGACAGGCCUAACACAUGCAAGUCGAACGAGUGGCGGACGGGUGAGUAAUGUCUGGGAAACUGCCCGAUGGAGGGGGAUAACUACUGGAAACGGUAGCUAAUAACGAAUACCAUCGGAUGAGCCCAGAUGGGAUUAGCCAGUAGGCGGGGUAACGGCUCACCUCUGCGACGAUCCCUCGCUGGUCUGAGAGGAUGACCAGCCAGACUGGAACUUAGACACGAUCCAUACUCCUACGGGAGGCAGCAGUGGGGAAUAUUGCAAAAUGGGCGCAAGCCUGAUGCAGCCAUGCCGCGUGUAUGAAGAAGGCCUUCGGGGUGUAAAGUACUUUCAGCGAGGAGGCGGUAAUCGCAGAAGAAGCACCGGCUAACUCCGUGCCAGCAGCCGCGGUAAUUC
rnacentral:rRNA from 1 species